AUGUUUUUACUCAAAGGCCCGAUUUACAUGAAAGUGGUAUACAUACGCCCGCGCACUAAUUUCCAUGCAAAUAAAGGUCGUCAACGAGAGCGAGAGAGAGAGAGAGCGCGCAGACGCCCCACUCUCACGCGAUUCUGAACACGGUCACAAGCAGAACACAUCUACAGAACAUAUCUACAUAGCAGGCGCGGAGGAGGCGCCUAUGUAUACGCUAGUACCAAUACCAAAGCUAACUUAGACCGAUAUGCACGACCGUCUUGUUCUCCGCGAUCUCUCGCGACGCCAGUUCGUUUCUAGCGUCGUUCGCAAACUCAGUCACGCGUGCCCUCCCCAAUUUUUCCGCCGAACCGGAAACCGUGCCGCGAGACACGCGCCUAGCGCCACGCCGUUUCGUCUCCCAGUUUUUCCUCUCUCGCGUAUGUCGAACAGAUAGGACCCAGAGUGGCCGGCCAUUUAACAGGCUUACCAGUGUCGUCGUUCGCUCUUCUGGCACCGUUAUUCCGUCCUUGAAAAGAUACCAGUCUUACGAGAAGCAUCUAGAGACAUCGACCGAAGUGAAGCCGCAGUAUUCGUGCGAUCGUUAUAUCCCAUUGAUCCACCUCGACUUUUACUCGUAAACGUCGAAAGAAGUUUGUUUGGAUACGUGCAUUGCCUCGUCUAUCUUAUUAUUGGACGAAAUUCUUAGGACUUGGAGUAGAAUCGAAAGGGAGGUGUUGGCGAGCGAUUAUUUAAGAACAAGAAUUGAAUCAUCGAGAUAAUAUCCAGUCACGGUUUCCUGUGGAACUGGAAAUUUUAUGUUUAUAUGACUAACUUUGCAUGCUUCCACCAAAUAACGGUACAUGGUUAAGGGCAGGAACGUAACCGAUUUAUUCGAGGAAAUCGUGAUACUGGUGAUGACGUAGCAUUCAUGACGCUACAAUUCGCGUAGGCGAACUUCGUCAUCCUAGUAAAACUUUUUAUCCACGAGACUCUUAAAAUAGAGGCCACUUUGCCUCGAUAUCUUUAUUAUCAAAUU